rnacentral:rRNA from 1 species
UACGUAGGGACCAAGCGUUGUCCGGAAUCAUUGGGCGUAAAGCGCGCGUAGGUGGCCAUUUAAGUCCGCUGUGAAAGUCAAAGGCUCAACCUUUGAAAGCCGGUGGAUACUGGGUGGCUAGAGUACGGAAGAGGCGAGUGGAAUUCCUGGUGUAGCGGUGGAAUGCGCAGAUAUCAGGAGGAACACCAAUAGCGAAGGCACUCUACUGGGCCACUACUGACACUGAGAGACGAAAGCUAGGGGAGCAAAUGGG